CAGGUUUCUAACCUUUUUUUUUUUUUUCUUUUUUUUCCCCAAAAGGCUGUUUCAGUUGCUCACAUUUGUCUUAAUUUCUAAUCUCUUCAAACCUGCAGACCAAGCGCAAAGAAAAUAAUUUUCAUUUUUAGCUCAGGGACAAGCUGUGCAGGUGAAGAGAAUUCAUCCAGAGAACGCAAACCUGGAGUGAUGGGUCUCAAUGUGACAUCAGACAAUCCAGCCCUUGGUGGGUCACAUCCUGGAUGUCCCCACCUGGUGCCACUGGGUCCAGGCAGUAUGGAGGUGAUCUGGAUUUGCUCCUGCGAUGGGAUUCACCUCCCAAAAAGUCUCAGCCUGCUGUGAGUCACUCUGAUGUUUGCACCUUGCUGCUCCUUCUCAUUGGUCUACAAAGGAGUGAGGAUGAGAAGUUCCAUAACAAACACUCAUCUCCCUUCUGAGCUAAUGGGGUCAGACAGGUCUGCCUGCAAGAUACAGAUUUCCUUAAGGGCAUCAUAAAGAGAAGAGACAUGAGAAGAUGGACCUUUCAAUAUGACUCCAAAGUUCAUUAGAUUAUAACAUUUGCUCUACAUCUGUGCACAAGGCAAUGCCUCACAUCCAGCAUGAAACCCAGGAUUCAUUCCCUUACCCCUCCA
rnacentral:lncRNA from 1 species